rnacentral:tRNA from 1 species
GCCGUUGUAGCUCAGUCGGUAGAGCACGUCAUUGGUAAUGACGAGGUCGGCAGUUCAAUCCUGCCCAACGGCU